rnacentral:rRNA from 1 species
GACGAACGCNGGCGGCGUGCUUAACACAUGCAAGUCGAACGAAGAGCGAUGGAAGCUUGCUUCUAUCAAUCUUAGUGGCGAACGGGUGAGUAACGCGUAAUCAACCUGCCCUUCAGAGGGGGACAACAGUUGGAAACGACUGCUAAUACCGCAUACGAUCUAAUCUCGGCAUCGAGGAUAGAUGAAAGGUGGCCUCUACAUGUAAGCUAUCACUGAAGGAGGGGAUUGCGUCUGAUUAGCUAGUUGGAGGGGUAACGGCCCACCAAGGCGAUGAUCAGUAGCCGGUCUGAGAGGAUGAACGGCCACAUUGGGACUGAGACACGGCCCAGACUCCUACGGGAGGCAGCAGUGGGGAAUCUUCCGCAAUGGACGAAAGUCUGACGGAGCAACGCCGCGUGAGUGAUGACGGCCUUCGGGUUGUAAAGCUCUGUUAAUCGGGACGAAAGNCCUUNUNCGAACAGUAGAAGGAUGANGUAC